AUUAUCCUUUCAAAAGAAAGAUUAAUGAAAGGGUAUGUGUAUUCUAUUUUUCCUCUGAACCUGAACGACAUGAACGGAGCACAAAGAAAAGAGGAAGAGAAAGUGAGACAGAAUGCCGAACAGAGCUUGGGAGAGAGAUGAUUUGUGUAAUGGGUAAUGCAAUUUUUAAAGUCUUUAAACUCAAGAGCGAGGGAAAAUGACUUAUUCAUCAGCUUGACUCUCUAAUCCCUAAAGAGGAAGAGACCCAUGUCUGUUGCAGCGAUUUGAGCUCGAAUGGUGCUUCAUUGAUGGCUCGGAAAGAAUCUGUGGACUGGAUUUUGACUGUUAAGGCGCACUAUAGGUUUUCUGCUGUGGCCGUUGUUCUUGCCAUGAACAUCUCCCGUAGAAGCAUUCUUCGUCUUCUUCUUCUUCUUUAAGCUUCGGCCUUUUCUGUAAUUCUUCCAACACAAAGAAGCAUUUUGGUGUUGACAAGUUAAGGAAGCUUUUGUCUGACAAGGAUGCAUACCAUCAAUUUUUACUUUCGCUCGAUCAAGUUAAAAUUCAAAAUAAUGUACGUACAUAAGCUUUUUCUCUUAUUUGGGAAUCUGUCUAUAGUACUUAAGUGCAUAAAGUGCAUGCAUCAACCCCUUUUUAAAAUGCUUGUUAGUGAAUAUUGGGUAUUGUACUAAUACAAUGACUUUUGUGCUUGAUUUAUAUGGUUUAUUAAUGAGCAUGGUGGUUUAUGCCUUCCCAAUAUAUAGUAGUUUCGCUAUUGUGAUACUUGAGUCUAUGUUCUGAUUAUUUUUCCUAGAUAUAUUUUUGCAACUUGACAAUUAUCAGCUUAGAGAUGAAAUUCGCAAAGAAACACUGCAACUAUGCAGAAUUAUUUAACAACAGAGUUGGCUGCUACAUAGGAGAAGCUACAUGAGCUUGAGAGACAAAAGGAAGAAAUGUUGAGGUUCGGUUCCCCUGCUUCCCUUCUCCAAAGGCUUCAAGAUGCAAUGAACAAAACCGAUGAGGAAUCUGAAAAUCUGCACAAGCAGCUUCUUGAUAGGGAGAUCGAGCUCGGUCCUUUUGUGCAGAUAUACAAGAAGCUUCGCACCACUUAAGCGAGCACUCAUUCAUCUUGCAGCUAAAACAAAUUCACUUAGUUGAAUUGAUAUUAUAGAAAGAUAUAUACUUGGAACACACUGAAAUCUUACUUGCAGUUUCAAUGCAUUGGCUAUAUAAACAUGAUUGUCUGUGUAUUAUUUGGUUAAAUAUUUUCUCUUUGCUAGUAUAUCAUUUUUGACAGCAUUUGUUCAUGUAAGUUCAACAUUCAUCAUGGUAUAGUAUUGUAAAGUUACAAUUUUA